GAUAUGGCCUUUGGUACGGAAUAUCCUCUGGAAACGGGGAGUAAUACCGUAUGAGCCCUUCGGGGGAAAGAUUUAUCGCCAAAGGAUUAGCCCGCGUUAGAUUAGGGGGUUGGUGGGGUAAUGGCCUGCCGGACCUACGAUCUAUAACUUGUUUUAGAAGAUGAUCAGCCACACUGGGACUGAGACACGGCCCAGACUCCUACGGGAUGCGAACACGGGGACUUUGGGCGAUGGGGGAGCCCUGAUGAGGCAUGCCGGGGAAUGAUGGCGAUGGAGGGUCGUAUGGGGCAGUCGCCUGUGAAGAGAUGACGGGUCAGGGAAAGAAACCCCGUGUAGCUCCGUGCCAGCAGCCGCGGUAAGACGGAGGGGGUUAGCGGUGGUCGGAAUUACUGGGCGUAAAGCGCACGUAGGCGGAUCGGAGGGUGGGGGGUGAAAUCCCGGGGGUCGUCCCCGGAACUGCCUCCGAGACUAUCGGCUAGAGUUCAAUAGAAGUGAGUGGAGUUCCGAGUGUAGACGUGAAAUUGCGAGAUAUUCGGAGGAAGACCAAUUGGCAGAGGCGGAUAGGAGAGUCGAUACUGACGGCUAGGGGCGAAAGGGUGAGGAGCAUGCAGGAUUACCAUACGCUGGAUGGUCCCACUCCGUGGGACCGAUUGACU
rnacentral:rRNA from 1 species